rnacentral:snRNA from 1 species
AUACUUACCUGGCAGGGGAGAUACCAUGAUCACGAAGGUGGUUUUCCCAGGGCGAGGCUUAUCCAUUGCACUCCGGAUGUGCUGACCCCUGCGAUUUCCCCAAAUGUGGGAAACUCGACUGCAUAAUUUGUGGUAGUGGGGGAAAAAAAAAAAAGUAUUGCUCUUU